AGAGUUUGAUCCUGGCUCAGGAUGAACGCUAGCGGCAGGCUUAAUACAUGCAAGUCGAGGGGCAGCAGGGGUGUAGCAAUACACUCGCUGGCGACCGGCAAACGGGUGCGGAACACGUACGCAAUCUACCCAAAACUGAUGAAUAGCCCUCCGAAAGGAGGAUUAAUACAUCGUAACAUCUUAGAGUGGCAUCACUUUUAGAUUAUAGCUCCGGCGGUUUUGGAUGAGCGUGCGGCUGAUUAGGUAGUUGGCAGGGUAAUGGCCUACCAAGCCUACGAUCAGUAACUGGUGUGAGAGCACGACCAGUCACACGGGCACUGAGACACGGGCCCGACUCCUACGGGAGGCAGCAGUAAGGAAUAUUGGUCAAUGGACGCAAGUCUGAACCAGCCAUGCCGCGUGAAGGAUGAAGGUCCUCUGGAUUGUAAACUUCUUUUACAGGGGAAGAAACCCGAAAAUUCUUUUUCGGUUGACGGUACCCUGGGAAUAAGCACCGGCUAACUCCGUGCCAGCAGCCGCGGUAAUACGGAGGGUGCAAGCGUUAUCCGGAUUCACUGGGUUUAAAGGGUGCGUAGGUGGAUUUGUAAGUCCGUGGUGAAAUCUCCAAGCUUAACUUGGAAACUGCCGUGGAUACUAUAAAUCUUGAAUGCUGUGGAGGUGAGCGGAAUAUGUCAUGUAGCGGUGAAAUGCUUAGAUAUGACAUAGAACACCAAUUGCGAAGGCAGCUCACUACCCAGAUAUUGACACUGAGGCACGAAAGCGUGGGGAUCAAACAGGAUUAGAUACCCCGGUAGUCC
rnacentral:rRNA from 1 species